GGAGACAGAGGGGAAGAAGGGGUGAACAGGUAGGAGGCGCUCACUUAUAAAGGGAAAGCUUGCAUGUGCGCAGAGUCCAAUGCAGCCACGUAAUGCGUGACACAGCCAUGCAACGCAGGGCCCUCUGAGCCAUCUUAAAGUAUCUGCCUGAAUGCAGGAAAAAAAGAGCAAGUCAAGUGCUGACGCCACAGCCCGAGUUGGAACUUACUCCCACUUCUCCCUGUCUUGUUUCCACUCUGUGCGCUGUUUUCUUCCCACACCGGACCAAGUUUUGGCUUGCUGCCUAGGUCCCUCAUGGACUGGACACCAGGACACCAGGGGAACUGAUGGCCCCAUCCUGCCAAGACAGAAUCCUGCCUUCUCUGCCUCCUCAAGGAACAGAUGCCUGAGGUCUCCAAGAUGGCAGUUACACGAAUGCUUCUCUACCCGUAUUUUCUGCUGAGUGUAAGCCCCCCAACUCCUGCCUCCCCCUUCCCCACAUCGUCCCAUGCCUGCCAGAAGUAGCCAGACAAAAACCAAGGUCCCAAAGAAUCUGGGAAGAGAUGCUCUGGUGGAGUUCCACCCCAGCCCCUGGCACCCAUAUACUCAGAAUCUGGGCUGACUAGGUGGAAGGCAUACUUCUCUGUCUCAAGAGACUGCCCCCCUCAGAAAGCCUGGCAAACAGCAGCCCCUCCCUUCAGAAAGUUCACCAUCAGUGACUCCUCCCCUGGUGAUACCUGGGACCACACCUAUUUAAACACACAGAUCUGCCAUGUGUGACCUCG